rnacentral:rRNA from 1 species
GUGCCAGCAGCCGCGGUAAUACAGAGGUCCCGAGCGUUGUUCGGAUUCACUGGGCGUAAAGGGUGCGUAGGUGGUGAGGUAAGUCGGAUGUGAAAUACUGGAGCUUAACUCCGGAACGGCAUUGGAAACUACCUUGCUAGAGGGUUGGAGGGGGGACUGGAAUUCUCGGUGUAGCAGUGAAAUGCGUAGAUAUCGAGAGGAACACCAGUGGCGAAGGCGAGUCCCUGGACAACACCUGACACUGAGGCACGAAAGCUAGGGGAGCAAACAGGAUUAGAAACCCCCGUAGUCC